rnacentral:lncRNA from 13 species
GAGCAUUUCCUCCACUGCCUGCACUGAGGAGUUGCCAAGGCUUGAAAAUCUUCUCUGUGUGCCAAACCAGAACUGGACAUUUCUGGUUUUGCAGUGCAGACAUUCUAAUACUGGAAUUGACAAAUGCUCCACACUGAGCUGCUGCCAAAUUGUCAGGAGGGUUUUUCAGUGUUUGUUUGGGGGAGAGGGGAACAAUAGGAUGGCCUUUGGCAAUUGUGUCUGACACACCUAUGGGCAGAAGGUAGGCUUUAAGUGUCCACCAUCUCUUCCUUUUUGAGUUUGCCAUCUCCCUACCUCCACCACACACACAGCACCCUAGAGACUCCCUGUGAUCCUGGGAUGCACUCAUUGAAGAGUGGGUGACCCAGGAUUUGACGGAGCUGCUACAAGAAAAGCAGGCUCUCCCCUUCUGAAAUGAUGAGUGGUAAUUACCAUGCAGGUCAACUUUUCCACCACUUAGAGGGAGCCUGGCAAAGAACAAAGGCAACAGAGAAGAAAGCAGAGCUGAGGCUGAGAAGGAGAAAUUCCUGAGUGCUUGAAUCCCACAUGCCUGAAAAUAAACCACACUUGGGCUUCUCAAUUCAGGAGUCAGUUAGCUGGGGCAGCCGAUUGGGAUCAAGUCUACCCCAUAUUUCUGUCAUUUGCUUGAGCCAACAGCUACCCAGGACAGUUCUCAUGGUAAAGGACAGAGCCUGAGAAGCAAAGCCAAACCACCUGAGCACAUUUAAAGCCUCUGAUCAUGCCCACUAACAUUCCAUUGGCCGAAGCAAGCUUCAUGACUCAGCCCGACAUGAGGAAGUGGGGAAAUAGACUCCAGUCUCUCCAGUAGGAAGCAAUGUAGAGCAACAUGGCAAAGACAGGAUACAGUCCAAAGAGUUAGAGAAGAAUUGGGAUAAUCCAAUCCUAUCACAGACACCCUUCAUUUUUAAAGUUGCCUUCUUUUUCAUGGAAAAGG